rnacentral:siRNA from 1 species
GAGGGUUGCGUCAUUCACCGUCA